UAAAUACCGUAAUAGAAAAAUAGAUGGGCAACAGAAUGAAAAAUCUGCAGAAUUGCCUGUCCUAUCAAUAAUAUUUUGUGGGCUGUCAUCUUGCUGAGACAGAAUGACUCUAACGAGAGCAAACGGAUUACUUAAAAAAGCCACUUCUUUGGCUCUUCCCUGAAGGCUCGGGUGGUAAGUGUCUUGGAUGAAGUGGGACUGAGCCAAGUUGAACUUGGUUGCGAACAGGAUGAACAGCACAGGCACAGGGAGUUGGGGUGACCCAUUUGUAUUUGAGUUGAGUUUAUUAUUUGAGUUCAGUUCAUUGUCACGUGUACCGAGGUACUGUAGAUGACAUGUGCAUGUUCCUUUAAUAUAGUGACCUCACCACUACUAACCACUCCCCAUAUCAGAAGUAUAAUUGCAACCUCCCCACCCAUUGAUCCCUCUCUAGCUCCGGUGACAGACCACGUACAGCUAGGGCAGCAACGGUUAUGUGAUAUCAAUAAAAGUUGUAAAGACACAGCAUGUUCAUGACUCCUCUUUACAGCAUGGAAACAGGACCUUCGGACCAUUGAAUCCACACCGACCACAUCUGUUCAUACUAGUGUUAAAGAGGGAACUGCAGAUGCUGGAGAAUCGAAGGUUACACAGAAAAGCUGGAGAAACUCAGCGGGUGCAGCAGCAUCUAUGGAGCGAAGGAAAUAGGCAACGUUUCGGGCCGAAACCCUUCUUCAGAACUGUUCAUACUAGUUCUUUGUUAUCCUCCCUCUGGAAGGUGACUCCGGAUUGUCAAAGCUGCCACAGCCAGACAUAAAAACAGUUUUUAUCCACGAGUAGUUGCUCUACUCAACAGCCAAAAAUCUGUAACCUCCCUUUGAUGUGGUAUUUUGUUGGUUCACAUGCUUGACCAAUGGUGUUUAAUCAUUAAUGUUUUAUUAUUAUUAAUGUUUAGUGUUGUCUGAGUCAUUCGUAACUGUCACUGUAUGUCAUGUUGUUACUUGUGGGCGGAGCACCAAGGCAAAUUCCUUGUAUGUGAAUACUUGGCCACUAAACUUACUUACUUACUUA